AAGCGGAGGCCUUCGUCAGAAUAUUCUGCGUUGUACCCCCUGGUGCAACUGCCAAAGACUUUCAUACCAGGAAAUUGGAAGAGCAACGUGCAUUGUGCCUGAUCUUACCAGCAGAGGGUGGAUUGGGUUUGAAACUGCCUGUGACCAUCUCUCCCAGACUGGAGGAGGAAUUCCCGCUGGUCUUACUGCGAACAGCAACAAAGACAGAAGGGAAGAGAGUGAGGAAGGGAGCACCGUUAACAAGGUGGAUCCAGGUAGAAGCCAGGCGGGGUGACUUCUCUCUCCUUCGCU